rfam:Ixodes scapularis strain Wikel colony gcontig_1108379254648, whole genome shotgun sequence.
UAUAAGGCUCUUUUCAGAGCCAUCUAUUCUAGGAGAGUUUGGUAUU